AUGUGGGAAGCUUCCAUUUGCCACCGCAGGAGAUGGCUGAGAAGAGCAGAGAGCCAAAAGAGGCCAAAAGAUCCCCCCGAAAAGAUGGAAGCGGGAGGAAUGCCAGCGGCGUUUGGGAGGCACGGUGCAGAGCAGGAGCCGCGGCGCCAGCCAGGACUCGGGUGGCUGCUCCAAGGGGGGGUUUUGGGAAAAUCCAAAAAGACGGAAGCGGGAGCGAGCGCUGACGGUACAGGAGCUGAUGCCGCGCCGGGACAGCAUUCCCGGUGGGAGAUGCCAACCCCCGUGGCUCGGAGGGAGAGGCUGGAGCCGUCGCGGAGCCGGUCAGGCCCUGCAGCCCGGCGCUGGAACGGCUCUCUUGGAUCAAGCCGAGAUGGGAAGAGGGGAACAGCAUCUUGGAGGCGGUGUUGGAACCAGCAGAACGUGCCGGCGGGUCGAUGCUGGAACAGCCCUGGAUCCUCCGGGAUGAGCCGGGAUCUGCCCGACCCGUUCCCCCCUCCCCUGCCCCCGACGUCCCUUGAGAAAGAAGAAAGUUUUAUUCCUCUUAUUUUUUUAAUGAAAGAAAAACAAAAAAGAAACCAGAUGCACUUUAGGCAGCCCAGCGUGGGGCUGCCGGGGGGGGGUGUCCUGCGCCCCCCCCUUUGCUUCCUUCCUUCCCUCCCUCGUCCCUCUGCGGCCGGCGGUUGCCGAAGGCAGGGCUCGGAUCCCUGGAUCUUACCACUAGCGCCAGACGACGCCCGACGUGAGGAGCUCCUCGUGCCUCUGCUCCUCUCCUCCCCCAGUAGCAGAUUUUUGCAAAUGGAGUUUUACAAGUCUAUAUUUAAAGAAUUGUAUGUUUGUAACAAAUAAAAAGUAUGCGGAAAAGUGAAUGGAAAACAAAAACCACCAAAGCCCGGCCCUCGGUGUCUGGAUCAUUUUGGGGGGGGGGGUCCCUCAGGAGGUGCUGCUGGGUUGGGAAUGGGGUGUCUGGGGGCUUGGGUGGGGUUUAUGGGGGUCACCUAUGGGGCUCUGGGGAGGACUCCUGGGACUUUGGGGGAUCUUAGGGCUCUGGCAGGGGACAUAUGGGGUGUGGGGGGAGCCUUGGGGCUGAGUUAUGGAGCUUUGCAGGGCACCUGUGGGGCUUGGGGGGCCCUCAGGGCUCUGGGGAGGACCCUUGGGGGCACCUCAGGGCUCUGAGGAGGAGCUAUGGGGCUCUGGGGAGACCUAUGGGACCUUUGGGGGGAUCCUCAGGGCUUUAGGGGGGGAUCUGUGGGGCUCUGUGGGGGGACGCACGGGGCUGUGGGGAUGAUCUAUGGGGCUCUGGUGGAGUGUCGGGACUCUGGGGAGGGCCUUGGAGCUUUUGGAGGCCCCUCAGUCCCCCGCGCACACACGCGGCGGCACCGCGGGGGCUCAGCGCGGUACGACGGGCUCCCCCCCCCCGGCAGCACCGCGGCCGGUGCGUGCGGCACCGGCACCGCAGCCGGGGGGGCCGGACACUGAGGCACCGCGGCGGGAGCUGCCCCCGCCCGGCCCUACCUGCGCCGCGGCCGCCGGCUGGAACCGCGGGGGAAGCUCCGCGCCGGGCUCAAGCGCCUCACGGCGGCGGCACCACCGACCGCCCCCCUACCCCCGGUGCUCCGCUCCCGCAGUGCCGCUCCGCGCAAAC
rnacentral:lncRNA from 1 species